UACGAAGGGGGCUAGCGUUGCUCGGAAUUACUGGGCGUAAAGCGUACGUAGGCGGAUCCUUAAGUCGGUGGUGAAAUCCUGAAGCUCAACUUCAGAACUGCCUUCGAUACUGGGGACCUUGAGUUCGGGAGAGGUGAGUGGAACUGCGAGUGUAGAGGUGAAAUUCGUAGAUAUUCGCAAGAACACCAGUGGCGAAGGCGGCUCACUGGCCCGAUACUGACGCUGAGGUACGAAAGCGUGGGGAUCAAACAGG
rnacentral:rRNA from 1 species